rnacentral:rRNA from 1 species
ACGCUCGACACCUACUGGAGGCAGCAGUGGGGAAUAUUGCACAAUGGGGGAAACCCUGAUGCAGCGACGCCGCGUGAGCGAAGAAGUAUUUCGGUAUGUAAAGCUCUAUCAGCAGGGAAGAAAAUGACGGUACCUGACUAAGAAGCCCCGGCUAACUACGUACCAGCAGCCGCGGUAAUCUGAGCGGGCUGGCAAGGC